GGCGUAGAGGGCUCGCAGGCGGUUUCUUAAGUCUGAUGUGAAAGCCCCCGGCUCAACCGGGGAGGGUCAUUGGAAACUGGGGAACUUGAGUGCAGAAGAGGAGAGUGGAAUUCCACGUGUAGCGGUGAAAUGCGUAGAGAUGUGGAGGAACACCAGUGGCGAAGGCGACUCUCUGGUCUGUAACUGACGCUGAGGAGCGAAAGCGUGGGGAGCGAACAGGAUUAGAUACCCUGGUAGUCCACGCCGUAAACGAUGAGUGCUAAGUGUUAGGGGGUUUCCGCCCCUUAGUGCUGCAGCUAACGCAUUAAGCACUCCGCCUGGGGAGUACGGUCGCAAGACUGAAACUCAAAGGAAUUGACGGGGGCCCGCACAAGCGGUGGAGCAUGUGGUUUAAUUCGAAGCAACGCGAAGAACCUUACCAGGUCUUGACAUCCUCUGACAAUCCUAGAGAUAGGACGUCCCCUUCGGGGGCAGAGUGACAGGUGGUGCAUGGUUGUCGUCAGCUCGUGUCGUGAGAUGUUGGGUUAAGUCCCGCAACGAGCGCAACCCUUGAUCUUAGUUGCCAGCAUUCAGUUGGGCACUCUAAGGUGACUGCCGGUGACAAACCGGAGGAAGGUGGGGAUGACGUCAAAUCAUCAUGCCCCUUAUGACCUGGGCUACACACGUGCUACAAUGGACAGAACAAAGGGCAGCGAAACCGCGAGGUUAAGCCAAUCCCACAAAUCUGUUCUCAGUUCGGAUCGCAGUCUGCAACUCGACUGCGUGAAGCUGGAAUCGCUAGU
rnacentral:rRNA from 1 species